rnacentral:lncRNA from 1 species
UUGAUUGAAACUCUUUUUACAAUUAUUUUCCGCGUAGAAAAUCGCACAUACCAAUAUACUAAUAAGUAAUUAAGUAUUGUUCUCUUGAGAUAUUCGGCUAUAUUUUGAACAUCAACAUCAUGUCAAUUUUAUUGACAGUUACAUGUUGUUAUUUUUUUUUCGUAUACUAAUGGACACGGCUUAGGUUUGUAGAAACUGUUUAUUUUCCUUUUCUCAGUAUAUUGACAAUAUAUAGUAAGCUUAAUAAUAUACACAACCUUAUAAGUUAUCCUUACAAACCGCAGUGGUCAAGACUGCCGGUCAUCCUAACCAGUGGCAGAGCUAUGUGGUGGGAAGGGGACAGUGGAGGAGCUAGCCAAAUU